rnacentral:lncRNA from 10 species
UAUUUUUGUUUUUAAUGUAGAUGAAUUUUCAAAAUCAAACUGAGAAUAAAGGGAUAUAACAUUUAACAAACAACCACAGAAUUUAUUAAACAUACAACAUUACAGAAACAUUUUAAUAUGCCAUUGAUAUGUAGUCUUCAAAACGUUUUAAAAACUGUGGUAAUACUAAAAGUGAAACUCAUAGAAUUUCAGUAUUUUAAAGGGAUAAUAAGGGACGUUAACCACAAAAUACAAAGCAUUUCACUUUUUAUGUUUGUCUUUUAAGUUAAAUAUUAAAAAUUUUAUAUUUAAAAAAUGUUUAUUAUUUAUACAGCACAUUAAUCAUCGAGACCCCCCUGCCCCCACAGCUAAAGUCAUUCUAGGUCAGAAUGCACGGAUACUGCUCUCAAUACUAGUAUGUAUUACUCCCAGUGCACACAUAUUGAUAAUCAAGGCUUGAACAGUUUGUGCCCUGGCUUAUUGCUGGCAACAGAGUAAUUCAGUCCGGAGUACAGAACAUGUACAAAUGCAUUUUCAUCAAUAUCUGGCUCUGAUACACCCAGUCUGAGCCACCAAUAUCUGGCUCAGGCACUUAUGAUAAUGGCCCAAGACACUGCUCAGGAUCUUAAGGUAAACAAGUUGUCACCUAAUUCUGUCAGCCCAGCAAUCAAAGCACAUUUUUGAGAGGGAAUGUUCUGACUUCCGUAUCAGUCGUGAUAUUUCCGAAUAAUUCUAUACUUGUCAUAAUGAAACACAAGCACGCUUUUGGUAUUGGCCCUUCAAAACAUUAAGAAACUGGUGGUACCAACAUACCAUUUUUGACAUUGUUGUAUUUUAACAUUUUUUCUGCUUUUGAAAGGAAUACACGCUCAUCAUUAAAAUAUUUUGAAUAAUAAAAUGCACAAAGAACAAAAACAUUGUCUAGAAUCUUGCCACUCAGAGACAAUCAUGUCAUAAUAUUCUCAUGUAUUUCCUUUCAGAUUUUUAAAAUUGUGGGCAUUUGUAAUUUUAUAAGGUUUGUAACUUCCUUCUGAAAACUUGUGUAUUCAGAUGUCUAUGUAAAUAUGAAUCUGUAUUAUGCACCUUAAAUGGCUGUGUAGUUUUCACAUCUUAUGUACUAUGAUUUAACUGACCAGUGUAAAUUACAGUGAUCAGUUACACUUAUUUAGUGCUUACUCUAUGCCAGGCACUGUAAUAAGCGUUUUGCUUGUACUAAUUCAUUUGAUCCUCACAACCCUAUUAUUCCUGUUUCUUACACAUGAGGAAACUGAGACACCAAGAGGUGAAGCAAUUUGUCCAAUCACUCAAUGUGGGACAUUUAAUGGCUGGCAAUGCUUUGAUCCUUUAGACAAUGUUGCCAUGUAUACCUUUGUUCAUGUUUUAAAAGAAUGUCUUUAGGAUUAAUUUGCCGAAAUGGAAUUGCUGGGUCCUAAGGUUUUAAAAAUUUUUUUACAUGCUUCCAAAUAUUUCCCUUAGGAAGAUUAUACAGUAUUUACACUUCAUCCAACAGUAUGUGAGUGUCUGACUCCUCACAUCCCUGAUUCUUUGCAAUUUUUUUCUUUUUUUGAGACGGAGUUUCGCUCCCGGGUUCAAACGAUUCCCAGCCUCAGCCUCCCGAAUAGCUGGGAUUACAAGCGCGCACCACCACGCCCGGCUAAUUU